UACAGAGGGUGCAAGCGUUAAUCGGAAUUACUGGGCGUAAAGCGCACGUAGGCGGUUUUUUAAGUCAGAUGUGAAAGCCCCGGGCUCAACCUGGGAAUUGCAUUUGAAACUGGGAAACUAGAGUGUGUGAGAGUGGGGUAGAAUUCCAAGUGUAGCGGUGAAAUGCGUAGAGAUUUGGAGGAAUACCAGUGGCGAAGGCGGCCCCCUGGCACAACACUGACGCUCAGGUGCGAAAGCGUGGGGAGCAAACAGG
rnacentral:rRNA from 1 species